UCGUUUUCCCUUUCGUCUUCUGUCUAACUCUUCUCUUUUUGACAUUUCUGAAACACAUCCACCAUAAAGACAUUUCUGAAACACAUCCACCAUGAAAGAAGAACAAAGGCUGCGGAACCUAACAUAAGAUUUCAAUCCAGGGAUUAGAUGAAUAAGUUAGGUAAGAGUAUGAAUUGUGCAGGCAAAUGGAAAAUGGAGUUGUGAUUGUAGGUAGUGGUAGUCUGAGAUAAUGAAUCAAUAUGGCAGUUGAGAUGAUGCUGUUGUGUUUAAGUCACAAAGCUGGUGACAGAGAUAAAUUGAAAAGAAUGUAGAUGGUGGUAUGCUGUGACAGAAGUGGUUGCAGGGACAUGGUGAUUGUGGCACUGAGAAUUAUGAGAGAUGAAGCUAAACAUUUUAGUUUUGUGUGAUGUUUCUGUGUUGCAGGGAGGCUACAGCAACGGGUUAAUGGAGUUGACUGUGAUGAUUGAGUGAUGCUACUAUGGACCUUAAGAGGCUUUGUAAAUUUGUGAACUUCAGUUUCUCUUUAGAUUUUUGGUUCAAGCUAUACAUCUUUGGUAUUGCGGAUUAUUAAAAAAAGCAGCAUUGGUUUGUGGUUUUAUAGUGUACUACAAACUAGGUCAACAAAUAUAGAUGAUUGUGUUCUUGGAUGAUAGCCUGAUUGGUUAUAGGAGCGACUGUAAAAAUGGCAAAAAUGCAUCCUGAAAAGAGAACCAUUUUCAUCAACAAAUACGAUAGUUAUGUAUGAUUAAUGGAACUUGAAGUUGUUUCAAUGAUAAUGGGAUUUUUUCGCUUUCAAA